AGAGUUUGAUCAUGGCUCAGAAUGAACGCUGGCGGCGUGCCUAACACAUGCAAGUCGGACGCGAACGGGGCUUCGGCCCUCAGUAGAGUGGCGCACGGGUGAGUAACGCGUAGGUGAUCUACCUCUGGAUUGGGGAUAACUCUGCGAAAGCGGAGCUAAUACCGAAUGGUCUGGCUUUAUUUUUAUGAAGUCGGUAAAGGAUGCCUCUGCAUAUGCAUCUGUCCGGAGAUGAGCCUGCGUCCCAUUAGCUAGUUGGUAGGGUAAAGGCCUACCAAGGCGACGAUG
rnacentral:rRNA from 1 species